rnacentral:rRNA from 1 species
UAAUACCAGCACCUCGAGUGAUCAGGACGUUUAUUGGGCCUAAAGCAUCCGUAGCUGGCUUUGCAAGUCUCCGGUUAAAUCAACCUGCUCAACAGAUUGGCCGCUGGAGAUACUACAAGGCUAGGGGAGUGGGAGAGGGCAGGCGGUAUUCGGGGGGGUAGGGGUAAAAUCCUCUGAUCCUCUGAGGACCACCAGUGGCGAAGGCGGUCUGCCAGAACACGUUCGACAGUGAGGGAUGAAAGCUGGGGGAGCAAACCGGAUUAGAUACCCGGGUAGUCCCAGCUGUAAACGAUGCAAACUCGGUGAAGCAUUGGCUUAAUGCUAAUGCUGUGCCGCAGGGAAGCCGUUAAGUUUGCCGCCGUGGGAAGUACGGUCGCAAGAUUGAAACUUAAAUGAAUUGACGGGUCGUG